rnacentral:rRNA from 1 species
GCACAAGCGGUGGAGCAUGUGGUUUAAUUCGAUGCAACGCGAAGAACCUUACCUGGGCUUGACAUGUCCGGAAUUCUGCAGAGAUGCGGGAGUGCCCUUCGGGGAAUCGGAACACAGGUGCUGCAUGGCUGUCGUCAGCUCGUGUCGUGAGAUGUUGGGUUAAGUCCCGCAACGAGCGCAACCCUUGUCCUUAGUUGCCAGCGGUUCGGCCGGGCACUCUAGGGAGACUGCCGGUGACAAACCGGAGGAAGGUGGGGAUGACGUCAAGUCCUCAUGGCCUUUAUGUCCAGGGCUACACACGUGCUACAAUGGCGCGUACAGAGGGAAGCCAAGCCGCGAGGUGGAGCAGACCCCAGAAAGCGCGUCGUAGUUCGGAUUGCAGUCUGCAACUCGACUGCAUGAAGUCGGAAUCGCUAGUAAUCGCGGAUUAGCAUGCCGCGGUGAAUACGUUCCCGGGC